rnacentral:rRNA from 1 species
AUGAACGCUGGCGGCGUGCCUAAUACAUGCAAGUCGAGCGAACAGACGAGGAGCUUGCUCCUCUGACGUUAGCGGCGGACGGGUGAGUUACACGUGGAUAACCUACCUAUAAGACUGGGAUAACUUCGGGAAACCGGAGCUAAUACCGGAUAAUAUAUUGAACCGCAUGGUUCAAUAGUGAAAGACGGUUUUGCUGUCACUUAUAGAUGGAUCCGCGCCGCAUUAGCUAGUUGGUAAGGUAACGGCUUACCAAGGCAACGAUGCGUAGCCGACCUGAGAGGGUGAUCGGCCACACUGGAACUGAGACACGGUCCAGACUCCUACGGGAGGCAGCAGUAGGGAAUCUUCCGCAAUGGGCGAAAGCCUGACGGAGCAACGCCGCGUGAGUGAUGAAGGUCUUCGGAUCGUAAAACUCUGUUAUUAGGGAAGAACAAAUGUGUAAGUAACUAUGCACGUCUUGACGGUACCUAAUCAGAAAGCCACGGCUAACUACGUG